AACGAACGCUGGCGGCAUGCCUAACACAUGCAAGUCGAACGAGACCUUCGGGUCUAGUGGCGCACGGGUGCGUAACGCGUGGGAAUCUGCCCUUGGGUUCGGAAUAACUCGCCGAAGAGCGUGCUAAUACCGGAUAAUGUCGCAAGACCAAAGAUUUAUUGCCCAAGGAUGAGCCCGCGUAGGAUUAGCUAGUUGGUGAGGUAAAAGCUCACCAAGGCGACGAUCCUUAGCUGGUCUGAGAGGAUGAUCAGCCACACUGGGACUGAGACACGGCCCAGACUCCUACGGGAGGCAGUAGUGGGGAAUAUUGGACAAUGGGCGAAAGCCUGAUCCAGCAAUGCCGCGUGAGUGAUGAAGGCCUUAGGGUUGUAAAGCUCUUUUACCCGGGAUGAUAAUGACAGUACCGGGAGAAUAAGCCCCGGCUAACUCCGUGCCAGCCGCCGCCGUAAGAC
rnacentral:rRNA from 1 species